rnacentral:misc_RNA from 1 species
UGGAGCGUCUCUCUCUUUCUGCCCAGGCCGCUCGCGUCCGCGGAAGCGGUGAAGGAACCUGCCCUUCCGCUGCGUACAGCGUGCACACCUACGCCGUCGUCGCCUUAAUAGUGUGGAGCAAAGAAGUCAUCUUCUGCUCGCUGAGCAUCACCUACUCCUUCCUUCCCGCACCUCGAUUUGGUGUGCGAUGCGCCUCCCCCGCUGCACCUUCCUGCGGCGGCAGUCCAGCUGUGGUGGCUGCCGUGCACGUCCGCGGACUUGUGUGUCCUCGAUGCCGCUGUUCGUGCUGGCAGCGAUGUUGACGGUCUGCAUGGCGGGAUCGCUGUUUGCCGUCGUGCACGCCAAAGACUGCGUCACGCGUGGGCCCGAUUCCAUGAUAGCGUGGAAGUACGAGGGCGGCAGUUUUCAAUGCGACAACUGCAUCGGCGCCCAUGCUGUGGGAGUUAACAGCGGCACGGUUCGCCGUCGCUGGACGGAGUACGACAAGGACCGCAACAUCCUGAACUCCUUCGUGGAGGAGCACCGCGAGGGCAAGAAGCUGGUGCUGCAUGACGAGAGCCGUGGCAUGAGCAUCCUACUGCGCUCCGACCUAAGUGGCAUCCGCACCGAGGGAGAGCAGACCUUCCGCCAGCUCUACAGCGGUGCCUUCAUCUCCGUGGUGGAUUGCACGUAACCCCACUCAAGGCCUCUGGGCUGUGGCAGUACCAAUGAUGGCGGCCCUGCAAAGACACUCAUCGCCUGACUCGUACGCGAGCUUGACGGCAUUUGUGCUCGGCAAGAGUACAGCGCUGAAGUGCUAGAGGGUAGGUGAGGGCGUUGAGCCCUCGUACUCUGGGCGUGCAUGCAAGUUAGGUGUCUGCCUUGCGGUUGGUGUGUACGUGUGCGUGUGUUUGUGUGUGUGUGCUCGUCUUGUCGCAGUGAGUAUCUCUGUUUGAGCUGCCUUACGUGAAGCUGGAAGAAGCGGGUAUGUGCCAAAU